rnacentral:rRNA from 1 species
CCUACGUGGGGCAGCAGUGGGGAAUAUUGCGCAAUGGGCGAAAGCCUGACGCAGCGACGCCGCGUGAGGGAUGAAGGUCUUCGGAUCGUAAACCUCUGUCAGCAGGGAAGAACGGUCACUGUGCUAAUCAGCAGUGAAUUGACGGUACCUGCAAAGGACGCACCGGCUAACUCCGUGCCAGCAGCCGCGGUAAUACGGAGGGUGCGAGCGUUAAUCGGAAUUACUGGGCGUAAAGCGCUCGUAGGCGGUAUUUGAAGUAAAGGGUGAAAUCCCCGCGCUCAACGUGGGAACUGCCUUUGAAACUGGCAAACUGGAGUAUGUGAGAGGAUAGUGGAAUUCCAGGUGUAGGAGUGAAAUCCGUAGAUAUCUGGAGGAACAUCAGUGGCGAAGGCGACUAUCUGGCACAUAACUGACGCUGAGGAGCGAAAGCGUGGGUAGCAAACAGGAUUAGAUACCCGUGUAGUC